ACUCGUCGAUUUUGCAUCGGAAUAAGUGACAGCUUCUCUUCCGCGUCGUAGGCAAAUAAAAAAUAUUUUCGUAUUGUAUUCGAAUUCUUUUCUUCGUCCUUCCCUUUUUCUUUUUUUCUUUCUUUCUGCAACAGAAAAGGAAAUAGAUAAGAGAGAAAUUGUAAAUCGUUUUAUAACAAUCGUUCCUUUGUCGUACUGCAUGAAUUGAUUGAUAUGCACGUCGGGUGUCUGUGAAAAGUGAAACACAGUCGUUGACAUUUCAGAGUGAAAGUUAAUCCGUGGCUUAGAGAAAGAAAGAGAGAGAGAGAGAGAGAGAGAGAGAGAGAGAGAGAGGAGAGAGAGAGAGAGGAGAGAGAGAGAGAGGAGAGAGAGAGAGAGAGACAAGGUCCAAGCCGGUAUAAUCUCAUAAACUAGUAUCUGAAAAUUGUUACACGAGAUAAAUUUUUAGGCUAGAAAAAUAAUUUUUCAUUGAGAAACGAAAGAAAUCGAAAAAAAAAAAAGUAAUGAUAUUUAUUAAAGCGCAAUAUAAAAUUUAGUAAAAAUUUCACUUUGCAAAUUACUGCAAACAUUUAUGUAAAUUAAUUAAUUAAUUAAUUAAUUAAUUUAUUAAUUAAUAUUUUAAAAGUUAUGUUAAGCAAGACGAAUAAUAAUAUAAGUUGAGCAGAAUCGUUAUUUUAAUAGCAUAUUGUUACGAAACUUGUUAGUGGAAGUUAAUUAAUGAGUGCAAUUAGACGAUGUAAUUAUUUCUCUUAGAAGGAGCUUAUAUCUUUGCAAGUAUCAUCUAUAAUUCCACGUUAAAAUGAAUGUAUUCAAAUUAUCGGAAAAUGCGUCACUUUAGAUAUGGCGCCAAUUGAUUCCUGGAACAGAAUAUGCAAUAUAAGCUAGAGUGGGUCGAGUCGAUUGUAAACCAGUAUAGGAGUUUCGUAAGAACCUCCAUUUGGAGAAAGUUAUGAUCUGGCCAUAUUGCUCGCGCGUGUCCGGAUCUUAUUUUAUUUUCCAAUCCACUCGCUCUCUCUCUCUCUUUCUCUCUCACUCACACACGCACAUAUCAAAAACUUUCUGUUUUCGAAAGGAACACGCUCGAUUUUUUAAGAUCGUUACAGAAAAUUAACAAAAGUAUAAGAACUCGGUACGCGGACACGAGGAAGCUCACGAAACGACGUUCUGGUCUCUCUCUUUUAUUGACACGCCGGCCAUCUUAUCCAAACCGUGAAAUCGUACGCGUCACGUACCUACGGUAAACACAGGUAAAUAUCUAUCUCUUUCUCUUGCGAUAAGUCGACCUUCGAUUCGUUCAUUUGUCUACCAACGUUGUUAUAACUAACUUUAAGAGCCAUUACACACUGUCGACCAGGUCGUAACUGAUCAAGUCGUCAGCAACCACUAAGUUAAGAGAAUAUAUAUAUAUGUGUGUGUGUGUAUGUAUGUAUAUAUAUAUACAUAUAAGCUUCAACACACUUGUUGAUCGCGAUAAUUGACAAAAAUACUAGCUAUGCGCGGGUGAUUCGCUAGUUUCCUGGUUUUUGGUCUUUCCACGAUGAAAAACCGGCGGCUUAAAGCAUGUUGCCAUUAUCAGGAUAAGUCUCGAUAUAAGAUACGAUAAAUCCCGAAAUAAGAUACGAAAGAGAGGGAAGGGGAGGAUAUAAAAGAAAUCUAACCUAAAAAUAUAAUGAAAAAUUAUAAUAUGAAAACGUUAACUUCAUCGAUUAGAAAAUAUUAAAAUAUAUGAUAGGCUUUGGAUAAUAAAAAUCGUUCGAAUUUGUUAAAAUUUUAACAACAAUCGAAAAGUAGCUUUUAUGUUUACAAAAAAAAAAAAAAAAAAAAAAAAAAAAAAGAAAGGAAGAGAAAAAAAGAAAUUGAAAAGGUUGAUUCGAAAGAAGAUAUAGUCAUUUCAGUAUAUAUAUAUCUUCUUUUUUUAUUUCAAGAAUACUAUAUCAUAUCAUCGACAUUUAUGCAAACACAGCUGCAUCAUCGUUGUCGAGAUAGUACGAAGAAAAGUGCUUUCGUUUAUUGUUAUUAUCGAUUUCGAGAUAUUAUUACCGAAUAAGAAUGAUUAUAAUUCUCCUUCGAAAGGCGGGAAAUUUGUAUUAUCGAAUUGAAAUUCGGAUAUUUCAAUAUACGUCGAAUGCGUAUUCUAAUAUUAUUCCGAAUGAGAUAAGAUCGAUUGGAAUAUCAAAAAACAUAACGUUUUAGAGAAAUUUCAAGGUCCACGAUAAAUUGUCCGAAAGAAUAUAUUUUUUAGCAUUACCAAAAUUUACAUUUUUCGUUGUUACACGCGCUUAACAUGUAAUAUUUAAAAGUGAAUGAAGCAAAUAGAUACGAAGCAAGCAAGCAAGAAAACAAGCAAGGCAAGCCAAGCUAAGCAUCUCAUUUCAACACGUAACGUAAAUACAUUAAAUCUCGCACAUGUAUCAAACGUGCUAGUUGGAGAAAGAAAAAAAAAAAAAAAAAAAAAAAAAGAAACAAAAAAAAAAACAAAACAAAAAAGACAAAAAAAAAAAAACGAAAAGCAUGCUUAAGAAAUUGCUUUACUACUUGACUUUAAUUUUAUACAAAAGAAUAUCAGCAUAUGUAAAAAUGAAACGAGCCAGGUAGAAGAAAUCGUCAUUAAGUUGAUAUGGGACAUACUUGAUGGAUCAAAUACAAAGAACUUAUCUAACUUAAAAAGAAAGAGGAAAGAAAAGUCAUAAAAAAAUUUAUGGAUUUUCGUAAACGACCUUGAAAUAUAGAAUCAGACGAAGUACGUGCUGAUUUGGUAAACAUCUAACUAAUCGUUCGAUUUUAUUGUUCAAGGUCAAGUUUCGAAUAAUGCAAAUAUCUCGUUUUUCUUUUUUUUUUUGUUUUGUUUUGUUUUUUUUUCUUAACUACGUUAAGAAAAAAAAAAGUAUUCAACUAAUUUCUUAGGUAAAAUUUCGUGGCAAGUUUCUGUGUCAGGAACGCAUCGUGGAUUCGCUCGCCCUACCGUGAACCCGUAAACUAUAAAGCUGAAACGCAUUCACUGGCAGAACGGAGAUCGUACGUGAUAUUAACAGGGUCGAAGCGGAGAAAUAAAUGAGCGUGUAUGUAUGGAUGUACGUAUGUAAUAGUCAGGACCGUAGCGAAACGGUUGGCUUUGUCCAUCCUGUUUGAGUGAGGUUCCUCCUUACUUUCAUGAGAAAACGUAGGAAGAUAUUACGAAUAGUUAGGUGUGUAUAUAUAUAUUGUACAUGUAUCAUGCCCUAAGCGUGUGAAUUUUCGAUGUAUACACAUAAAUAAAUAAAUUGAAAUGUAAGUAGAUGCAUUGAUUAGCGUUAUGGACGAAUAAACUUAUACAUAAUACGAACGUGACUUAAAAUAUGUUCAUAAACUAUAUAACCGACUUGCAAAUUAGUCGUGGAUUAGAACUCGACGAUGACUAAUAGUCAUCUGAGAAAAUGCUGAACAUUUACGUUUUCGUAUCGAAUUUUUUUUUCUUUCUUUUCCUUCUUUUUUUUAUAUUUCUUUUUUUUUUUGCAAAAUUUUUUAUACACGCUAUUUUGAAAAUUUUGUGUGAUCAUCGAAAAGAAAAUAAUUAAAGCAAUUAACAACGACAUUCUUAAGAUCUAAGAAAAAUUGAGUAUAACGAAAGAAAAAAAUGAAAAAGAAAAAAUAAAAAAAAAAAAAAAAAAAAAAAAAAAAAAAGGAAAAGGAAAGAAAAAAAGGUUUCAAGAUCAAACCGAGAGUGCGAACGUUGUGCUAUGUCGGCAAAAACAGCAUGGAAUCAAUGUCGAGAUAACGAGAAUACUAUAUUUCACCGUUCUUGGUACAGGAUUCUCAUCUAAAUCAGUUAAUGUUUAUUCGUUCGAAAACUUAACUUAAAAGUUGAAAGGAACAAACAAACCAAAAUAACUAUGGAUAAAGAAUAGUUCGAAGUUAAAGAUAUAUAGUCUGAUAUAAAAUACGCGGACUAAUUUAAUCUUUUACCACGCAAGGAAUCGUCGAAUCGCAUCUUUUAUCUUGUAGAAAAAUGUUAACGGAAAUUUCUAAUCUCGAUCGAUAACGAUAACCAUUCAAUCUGAUAUUUCGUUGGAGGUUGAAAUUUUCGUACUUUUUCUCUUUCCUAUCUUUUUUGAAAAUUUAAUUGAUUAUCGAUAAAAACAUUAAAGAAAUUAAAGAAAAUAAGG